GACGAACGCUGGCGGCGUGCCUAACACAUGCAAGUCGAACGAGACCUGUGGAUCUAGUGGCUCGCGGGGGCGUAACGCGUUGGAAUCUGCCCUUGGGUUCUGAAUAGCGGGGAGAAAUUGCUACUAAUGCCGGAUGAUGUCUUCGGACCAAAUAUUUAUCGCCCAGUGAUGAGCCCGCGUAGGAUUAGCUAGUUGGUGGGGUAAUGGCCUACCAAGGCGACGAUCCUUAGCUGGUCUGAGAGGAUGAUCAGCCACACUGGGACUGAGACACGGCCCAGACUCCUACGGGAGGCAGCAGUGGGGAAUAUUGGACAAUGGGGGAAAGCCUGAUGCAGCAAUGCCGCGUGAGUGAUGAAGGAGUUAGGGAUGUAAAGCUCUGUUAACAGGGAAGAUAAUGACAGUACCUGGAGAAUAAGCCCCGGCUAACUACGUG
rnacentral:rRNA from 1 species